ACCUAUGUGGCAUAGUGGUUUGAGUGUUGGACUACAUCUCUGGAGCCCAGGGUUCAAAUCCCUGCUGAGCCA